UUCCGGUUGAUCCUGCCGGAGGACAUUGCUAUUGGGAUUCGAUUUAGCCAUGCUAGUCGAGCGAGUUCAGACUCGCGGCGAAUAGCUCAGUAACACGUGGCCAAGCUACCCUUCAGUCAGCGAUACCCUCGGGAAACUGAGGUUAACAGCUGAUACAAAACGCCUGCUGGAAUGCGGCGUUUCAGAAAGAUUACGCUGAAGGAUGCGGCUGCGGCCGAUUAGGUAGACGGUGGGGUAACGGCCCACCGUGCCAGUAAUCGGUACGGGUGAUGAGAGUCAGAGCCCGGAGACGGAAUCUGAGACAAGAUUCCGGGCCCUACGGGGCGCAGCAGGCGCGAAACCUUUACACUGCACGGAAGUGCGAUAGGGGAAUCCCAAGUGCGAGGGCAUAUUAGCCCUCGCUUUUCUCGACUGUAAGGUGGUCGACGAAUAAGAGCUGGGCAAGACCGGUGCCAGCCGCCGCGGU
rnacentral:rRNA from 1 species